UUUUAAUUUGAGCGUCAAUCCACUUUUUAAAUCCAAAGAUUGUCAGCUGCUAUGCCGAAACAUUAAAAUUACAUUAUGAAAACAAAAAAAAAAAUCGGACUGAAAAGCUGCAAAACACAACACACGUUAUAAAAGAUGGGACGUGAUCGAUUAUUGCUCUACAAAUGUCAUUGGGAUUCUUGCAGAGAAACGAAAAAGAUUGGGUACUUGUGAUGGACACCGGCAGCAAAACCAACAUUAAAUACUCAAUCAGAGAUAUCUUCGCCAGGCGCAGAAGGAGGUUUGCAACUGCAACCCUUAGUUUAUCGAAAACGUCGUUGCAAGCAAUCCUUCCACUAGAGAAUAAGCAGCCCAUACAACAGAAUGAUCUUGGCUGCCCCAUCAGAGCGUUUACCAAUGGAGGAGAGUGCUUGCUGAUAGUGCUUAAUCGACUGGAUAGGACAAAGCUUAGAGUUCCCACCAAACAGUCAACCUUUUUAGAGCGUUGUAAACGAAUAAAAGAAGCAAAAUACACGGUUUUAUUUUGAAGAGGCAAUGGGAUCACCGCUUUGUAGCAUUUUGCACAAUUAUCUCACAUUAACCAUACACAAAACUUGAGUAAUAGUCUUGAAUUUCUUCAUAAAUCGGAAAACUUGCCGCAACUUUCCUUAUACAAAAAAAGCCUCGUCCACUUUUUAUCUUGUAGCAUAUCUUGAGAACAACUUUGCAGGCGAGCUUGGACUGAAAGUACAUAUUUAGCAACCGAAAGGCAAAUGUGAAUUUUUUGCUCCAUUUUCGAUGUUUUGUUGGCAUGCGUCGAUUGAGCGAAAAUACUUGGGGGAGGCAAGUCAGAAAUAAAAUACAAUACAUCUGUGUGUUUUUUUUUUAUUCACUCACAAGCAUAUGGAUAAUUUUAAUUAUUUUUGCAAAUUUUGAAUUACCUAAAAUAUCUCACCCAUUGGCUUAAUUGUGAUCUCGUGUAUCUAACAAAAUAAGAAUUUUAGUAGGUUGGAGUUGUGUAAUAAUGUUUUUGUUACCUGUACAUUAGGCGGUGUACGAAGCGCAUAAAGUAUCGCAUCUGCAAUGUUCGAUGGCUGUAACCUCGCCAUAUUUUUAACGUAAAAAUGUAUCUCCUCUGGAAAAAUAUUGGUAUUGACAGCCCCCGGACAAAUGCCUGUGACCCGCACCUUGCUCGUGUGUAAUUGAAACUCUUGUCGAUAAGUUUCUGUAAUGGCUGUAAUAGCAAAUUUCGUUGCUGGAUAUAUAUUGAACGAGGGUAAAACACCAAUAAAGUUGAGCACUUGGUGGCCAGCGAUG